AGUGAACGCUGGCGGUAGGCCUAACACAUGCAAGUCGAACGGCAGCACAGGAGAGCUUGCUCUCUGGGUGGCGAGUGGCGGACGGGUGAGGAAUACAUCGGAAUCUACUUUUUCGUGGGGGAUAACGUAGGGAAACUUACGCUAAUACCGCAUACGACCUACGGGUGAAAGCAGGGGACCUUCGGGCCUUGCGCGAUUGGAUGAGCCGAUGUCGGAUUAGCUAGUUGGCGGGGUAAAGGCCCACCAAGGCGACGAUCCGUAGCUGGUCUAAGAGGAUGAUCAGCCACACUGGAACUGAGACACGGUCCAGACUCCUACGGGAGGCAGCAGUGGGGAAUAUUGGACAAUGGGCGCAAGCCUGAUCCAGCCAUACCGCGUGGGUGAAGAAGGCCUUCGGGUUGUAAAGCCCUUUUGUUGGGAAAGAAAUCCAGCUGGCUAAUACCCGGUUGGGAUGACGGUACCCAAAGAAUAAGCACCGGCUAACUUCGUGCCAGCCGCCGCAGUAA
rnacentral:rRNA from 1 species